rnacentral:tRNA from 1 species
UGCUUGCUGGCGAGUGUUGGGCUCAAAACCCAAAGGUCGUAAGAUCAAAACCUACGCGAGCAA